rnacentral:lncRNA from 10 species
CAGACUCAUAAAAUGGAUUGAUACUGGUGCAUAGUAUUGGGCAAAUGUUUAGAGUCUUCCUCUGAGAUUGAUAAGGGCACACAGUGAGCCUGCUUCACAAGCAGUGCAGUGGCAAAGCCAGAGUAGUCACUGCAGAUCUACAGUGAUGUGUUCCUCAGGGUGGGGCUACCCACUCCACCCUGCUGACCAUGGGGACAGGAGAAUGAACAAGCUUGUUCAUGGAGAGGAGCAGAAGGGCUCGCCCAAGCUGACAAAGACCUGAAGGAUAGAUUCCCAGACCACACAGCUCUCCUCUCCCUCCAGCCCAGCUUGUCCUGUGGACUGCGGCUCCUGAAUGGAAGGGAAGUUUCCAUUUCUCCUGGGCAUACACUGAGGAGUGAGCUGUUGGGUCAUGUGGUAACUCUAUGCUUAACUUUUUGAGGAACUGCUAAACUGUUUUCCACAGUGGCUGCACCGUUUUGUAUUCU